rnacentral:rRNA from 1 species
UCGUAGUCAAACCCCACAGCCACGCGAACUCUAAGUCAGCCACGAAUAGGCUAUCCCAACUAACGGCGGGAAAGACUCCACGGAGGGUGUAAGACCCGUGUGGGCGCGUGUCAAAGCUGUGUGGGUUCGGCCUCUUUUCCCUGAGAGUCGCGUUGCUUGAGCAUGCAGCGCUAAGCAGGUCGUAAACUCGAUCUAAGGCUAAAUAUAUCCACAGACCCGAUAGCGAACAAGUACCGUGAGGGAAAGUUGAAAAGCACUCUGGAGAGAGAGUCAAAAGACCGUGAAACCGCUCAGAGUAUAAGCCCAUGGCAGCUUGGAAGGCAUAUCGCUAGCGGGGCAUCGGUCUCCCUUCACGGGGAGCUGGUGUUACCUUGCUUCUGUUGUGGCUCGUCACGGUAGGGGGGUCAAGUCCACAUCCCGCCGACGUGUGGGGAGUUCUCGGGUGCGUUGGGUUAUUCGGUGUUUUGGUUUCGGCCGCGCCGCUUUAGCUCUUCGUGCUUGGUUCUCUUUCAACACGGACGUUCAGACUCAGAGGCAAGACGCGAUAAACAGCCCACCACGGCACGUUGUGAGGUCACCCACAGGCUCAGCUUUUGAUUGUGGUCCUUGACGCCGAGCAAGCACAAUGCGUGUCGCAAAUGUUCCUAACCGGGGUGCUCCCCGGACCGUGGAACGACACGCGCUCAUGAGAGUCAGGACCGGGCGAUGACAGAGUUCUGGUAUGAUCCUCUUGCGACGAGCCGGCUUCUGGCCAAAUUCUCCGAUGUUCAGGUCUCCCGCAUGUGCCGCGGGAGAUCCUUUCGACGGUCUGGGGUGUACCUCCCCCUCUCAGUCGAGCAUCGGAAAGAGUGGUGUAAAGUCCAAGCCCAUCGGUCACGUCUCGAAACACGGGCCAAGGAGUAUAGCAUGUGUGCAAGUCUAAGAGUCUCCCAAAACUCGAAGGCGAAGUGAAAGCAAGGAAGCGGCGGGUUAUCUACCCAGAGACCCCGUCAGCUAGAGAGGGUC